CGUCAUCGUAGCUUAAAUACUAAAGCACAACACUGAAAAUGUUACCAUGGACAGACUUGUCCCGCAUGACAAC
rnacentral:tRNA from 1 species